rnacentral:rRNA from 1 species
UACGUAGGGGGCAAGCGUUGUCCGGAAUCAUUGGGCGUAAAGAGCGUGUAGGCGGCCCGAUAAGUCCGCUGUGAAAGUCCAGGGCUCAACCCUGGAAUGCCGGUGGAUACUGUCGGGCUCGAAUCCGGAAGAGGUGAGUGGAAUUCCUGGUGUAGCGGUGAAAUGCGCAGAUAUCAGGAGGAACACCAAUGGCGAAGGCAGCUCACUGGGACAGUAUUGACGCUGAGACGCGAAAGCGUGGGGAGCAAACAGG